rnacentral:rRNA from 1 species
UCCUACGGGAGGCAGCAGUGAGGAAUAUUGGACAAUGGAGGCAACUCUGAUCCAGCCAUGCCGCGUGUAGGAAGACUGCCCUAUGGGUUGUAAACUACUUUUAUAUGGGAAGAAUAAGAUCUACGUGUAGAUUGAUGACGGUACCAUAGGAAUAAGCACCGGCUAACUCCGUGCCAGCAGCCGCGGUAAU